rnacentral:lncRNA from 10 species
GGAACCAUCACCGCUACUCUAUUAAUGUUGUAUCACUAUUCAGAUGCAGUUUAUUGCAGGGAACAGCUUAAACUCAAAUAUACUAGCAUCUAUACAAUCAUGACAACACUUAUUAGUUGGUACAUAACGUAUGGGCAGAGGCUGUGCUUGCCGGAGACUAUCUGUCUUUCAGGCUCAAGAAGCAAUGGCGAGUCAGCUGCUGUCGUGCCACAGUCUCUGUUUAUUAUGUUCUUAUUAUCUUUCUUAUUAUGAAAGGAAAGAGCUAAAUGUGUUCAUGUGUUUGCAGGAUGAUAGACAACUUAACCAUGUCAUAGGGCAACAGGAAGGACAGAAGUGGAGGGAAAAAGAGCAAGCAACUUUUCUUCUAUUCGAUUGGGAAGGAGUUUGGAACUGCAGACCCGUCAGCUAUAAGGAAGUCUGGUGUGAAUGCCCAGCCUUGCCCCAGAGGGGAAUGGGUCCUCACUGAGUACUCCUGCAUCCACCUGCUUUCCCAUCUCCCCGUUUGUACAGAAAAGAAGAUAAAGACAUUAUUUAAUUAUCCUCUUUGGGAUAUGAAAGUACCACGUGGAAGAUGGAGGCCAACUAUUUCUUCUUCAGGAGAGUCAAAAGAACCACAUUGAAGAAGAGGUUCACAACAGAUGCUAAAAAAUCUAAGGGUGCUCAUGGCCUGAAUACGUUUCCAGGCAGAGUUUGUGAGCAGAGUUCACAAAGGUGCGGAUGAAGACCGUUCGCUGGGCUUCACUAGUACAAAGACAGGCUGACAGUGCAAAGACGAAGAGGA